GACGUAGGGCGCGAGCGUUGUCCGGAUUUAUUGGGCGUAAAGCGCGCGCAGGUGGUUUCUUAAGUCUGAUGUGAAAGCCCACGGCUCAACCGUGGAGGGUCAUUGGAAACUGGGGAACUUGAGUGCAGAAGAGGAAAGUGGAAUUCCAAGUGUAGCGGUGAAAUGCGUAGAGAUUUGGAGGAACACCAGUGGCGAAGGCGACUUUCUGGUCUGUAACUGACACUGAGGCGCGAAAGCGUGGGGAGCGAACAGG
rnacentral:rRNA from 1 species